AGACAGAGCCUCCCUUUCUCACCCAGGCUAGAGUGCAGUGGUAUAUGAUCUUGGCUCACUGCAACCUCCUUCUCCUAGAUUCAAGCGAUUCUCUUGCCUCAGCCUCCUGAGUAGCUGAGAUUACAGGCAUGCACCACCACACCCAGCUAAUUUUUGUAUUUUUAGUAGAGGUGGGGUUUCACCAUGUUGGCCAGGCUGAUUUCGAACUCCUGACUUCAGGUGAUCCACCCUUCUUGGCCUCCCAAAGUGCUGGGAUUACAGGCGUGAGCCACUGAGCCCAGCUACAGAACAAAGAUACAAUUUUUUGUCAAGGAUAUGGGAAUCAUUAAAGCAUUCCUGUUUCUCUCUUUUAUUUGGCAAACCUCUGUUUUAUUAUCCCAAAACUUACUAAAUAAUAAUUUUUCCUUUUUUGGUCAUUAAAUAAGUUCAUACACCACAUAUAUUAAAUAAACGGUGUUAGAGUUUGUCCUUCCUUUUAUGUUGUUAACUGAAAUGGGUUUCUUUCCCAGAUGUUUUAAAAGAGCAUUUGUUGAGGAAUAAUGUAGUUUUUAAAGACUCCACAGUUUCUUUACCAAUGCUGUAAAAGUUAUGUUUAGAAAGAAUUGAGUAUUUUUCUCUAUAGUAUUUCCAUGAACUUUCUUCUAAUAUUCAACAUGAGAAAUCUGAAAAUGCUUACAAGAAAAACAUAUAGAAAGCAAAGAAUUCUUAAGGCCAAGAAAGUGGAACAUUAAGCAUUUUGAUCUGUUAGGCAUCGUACAAAGGAUGAAGAGACCCACCCCAAGGGGACUUAACAGUUGGCAAGGACAACCAUAGUAUCAUAAAUAAAUUAAGCUAGAAAAAAUACUAAUGCAUACUGUACCUCUAUUAUUUUAAGAGUGUAGAGCUUUCUUACACAAUUCUUAGUGAUAAAUUCUCUUUGCUACCAUUGACCAUAUAGUUUAAAAUUUUCAGUUAUUUUUUUCAGCCAACUUUGGAUGUGUUCUGAAGUUUUUUUUUUUAAAUUGACACAUAUUAAUUGUACAUAUUUAUGGGGUACAAUGUGAUAUUUUGAUACAUGUGUACAAUGUGUAAUGAUCAAGCCAUGGUAAUUAGCAUAUCCAUCAUCUAAAACACAUCAUUUCUUUUUGUUGGGAACAUUCAGUAUCCUCUUUUUUGCUGUUUGAAACUAUAUAUUAUGUUACCUAUAAUCAUCCUACUGUGCUUUAGAACACUAGAACACUAGAAUCUUCUGUUCUACUUUUUACUUAUAUGAGAUCAACUUUUUUUAGCUUCUGCACAUGAGUGAAGAUGUGGUGGUGAACUUUCUGUCCUAGCCUAUUGCACUUAAUGUCUUCUAGUUCCAUCUGUGUUGCUGUGAAUGACAGGAUUUCAUUCUUUUUUUGUGGCUGAAUAGUAUUCUAUUGCGUAUAUAUACCACAUUUUCUUUACCCAUUAUUCUGUUGUUGGACACUAGGUUGAUUCCAUAUCUUGGCUAUUGUGAAUAGUGCUGCAGUAAACCUUAUUUCUUUUUAUUGUUUGUAAGUUUUUCACCCAGUAGGAAAUCUGUAAGGCUUAGGUCUUCUAUUUAAAAUGUCACCUAUUUAAUCAUGUUUAAUUAGGUUGAUGGAGGGGCAACUUUCCUAUUUUUAAAAUUUUGAAAACAAAGUGGAUACUAAUCGUACUUUCUUAAAAUGGUAUGCUGCUAACAUUUUAAAUUUAAUGUUUUAAGUUGUAUUUCUUUUACGAGAUUUCUUUAUUAGUAGCUACUUUGUUUAUGAGGGAGCAGGGAUAGGAUUCCCAUAAGUGAGAAUAAGAAGCAGUUAUCACCGAUGGGUAGUAAUUUUUAGGGGUCUGUUAAGGGUCUCUUAAUAUUAAAGGAAUCAGAAUAAUACCAUAAUUCUUUUAUUUAAAUAGUACAAGUGAGCCAUUGAUUAACAUCUGGCUUAGAUGUUAAUCUAGUGUUAGAAUUAGAUGUUAGAUGUUAGAAUUCAGUAUAGGAUCCCUUGAUAAGAUUUUUUAAUGUAAGUUCUCUUGAACCAGUAGCACCUUUUUUCCCUUCAAAGUGUAAUCUUGACAUCUCUCUACAAUUCAGAGUAGUGAAUGGUCCUCAGGUGUUUAGCAGGUAAUUUGUUACAUGUAAAAAUUAAAGUUUGUAAUUAAUAUACCUCUAUGCUACAAAUUAGGGUGGAUUUACACUUACUCUUUUUUUAUUUUAUUAUUAUUAUACUUUAAGUUUUAGGGUACAUGUGCACAAUGUGCAGGUUUGUUACAUAUGUAUACAUGUGCCAUGUUGGUGUGCUGCACCCAUUAACUCGUCAUUUAGCAUUAGGUAUAUCUCCUAAUGCUAUCCCUCCCCCCUGCCCCCACCCCACAACAGUCCCUGGUGUGUGAUGUUCCCCUUCCUGUGUGAUGUUCCCCUUCCUGUGUCCAUGUGUUCUCAUUGUUCAAUUCCCACCUAUGAGUGAGAACACACGAUGUUUGGUUUUUUGUUCUUGGGAUAGUUUGCUGAGAAUGAUGGUUUCCAGUUUCAUCCAUGUCCCUACAAAGGACAUGAAGUCUUCAUUUUUUAUGGCUGCAUAGUAUUCCAUGGUGUAUAUGUGCCACAUUUUCUUAAUCCAGUCUAUCGUUGUUGGACAUUUGGGUUGGUUCCAAGUCUUUGCUAUUGCUUGAAAUAGUUUUGACAUGUUUCCUUGAGCAGAGGAGAAAGUGAUGGUGUUACAGUGAGUGCACUUAUUUAUUCUAUAGCCUGACAGAGUAUUUGUGAUUGUAAAUGUCAUCUGUUUGUGUUGGGGAAGAACAAAAAAUGAAGGGCUACUCCUGUGUUCAGGGUUUCUAAGAAAAACACAAAGUGUAAUAUCUGUUGAAAACAAACUUGGAUGAUGACUUUUAACCUUUAAAAUUACCUUCAGCCAAGCACGUCUAUCAACUUUACCAGCUGUUUUGAAAAUACCUAAUACCUGUGCCAUGGUUCAGCUGUGAAGAGGACAGAGUUGGUUUGAAUAAGAGUAGUUAUAGGAAGUUUGUCCUUAAAAGUCCUGAAGAUAAGUCUUGAUGCUGAGUCAUACAUAUUUACUCCCUCUGUGACUAACUGAAUAAACUCAAUUCAUCAAGGAAAUCGUGUCCUUGACUCAGGUCCAUUUGUCACAAAUCACACCCUCCAACUUUAGGAUUACAUCAGACUAAAAUUAUGGACAAAGCAAGUUGCUAUGUUAAUUCUUUUCUAACACAAGGAGUGGUUUAUCAUCACAUUGCCCACAGUAAUAUCAUUGCAGUUUUAUAUGUUUAGGGUGAUUUCUCCAACUCUUCCUCAAAAUUAUAGAGUUUUAUAAAGCCAUUUUCAUUUUUGGAGCAAGAAAGAAGUAAGCUUUGUUGUGUAUUAGAUGCUUACCACUUGCCAAACGUUGUAUUAUAUGGAACAUGAGACAAGUAACACACAGUUUCUACUUGCAGGCAAACAGGACAAUAUAACACAUGAAACAGAAUGAAAGUUUACUCAGAGUUGAAUUUUAAGAAUAGUUUUGAUUUUUAUCAAAGACCAUCUUAGUUAUUUAUAUGUGUUGAAGGUUUAUAAUCUGUAAAUCUGAAGUGUUGGAGCUAUUGGGUGGGGGAGAAAGAAGACUUAAAAAUUCUACUUAGGAAGCUAUUUGUAAACUCCCUUUUUUGUUUUUAACUUUUAGGUUGAGGGGUACAUGUGCAGGUUUGUUAUAUAGGUAGAUUUUGUGUCACAGGGGUUGGAUGUACAGAUUAUUUUGCCACCUACGUAAUAAGCAUAGAACCUGAUAGGUAGUUUUUCUGUCCUUACCUUCCUCCCUCCCUCCCUCCACCUUUAAGUAGGUCCUGGUGUCUGUUGUGCCUUUCUUUGUGUCUAUACAUAUCCAAUGUUUAGCUCCUACUUAGAAGAGAGAACCUGUGGUAUUUGGUUUCCUGUUCCUGUGUUAAUUCACUUAGGAUAAUGGCCUCCAGGUCCAUCUGUGUUGCUGCAAAGGACAUGAUCUUGUUCUUUUUUAUGGCUACAUAUUAUUCCAUGGUGUAUAUAUACCACAUUUUCUUUAUCCAUUCCACCAUUGGUGGGCAUUUAGGUUGAUUCCAUGUCUUUGCUAUUGUGAAUAGUGCAGUGAUGAACAUACGUGUGCAUGUGUCUUUAUGGAAGAGCAAUUUUUAUACCUUUGGGUAUAUACGCAAUAAUGAGAUUGCUGGGUCAAAUGGUAAUUCUGCUUUGCGUUCUUUGAGAAAUUGCCAAACUGCUUUCCACAAUGGCUGAACUAAUUUACAUUCCUACUAGCAGUAUGUAAGUGUUCCCUUUUCUCCGCAACCUUGCCAGCAUCUGUUAUUUUUUGACUUUUUAAUAAUAGCCAUUUUCACUGCUGUGAGAUGGUAUCUCAUUGUGGUUUUCAUUUGCAUUUAUCUCAUGAUUAGUGAUGUGGAACUUUUUUUCAUAUGCUUCUUGGCCACUUACAUGUCUUCUUUUGAAAAGUGUCUGUUCAUGUCCUUUGCCCACUUUUUAAUGGGGUUGUUUAUUGAUUUAAGUUGCUUAUAGAUUCUGGAUAUUAGACCGUUGUUGGAUGCAUAAUUUGCACAUAUUUUCUUCUGUAGGUUGUCUGUUUACUCUGUUGAUAGUUUCUUUGCUGCACAGAAGCUCUGAAGCUUAAUUAGAUCUCACUUGUCAAUUUUUGCUUUUGUUACAAUUGCCUUUGGCAUCUUCAUGAAAUCUUUGCCGUGUCCUAUGUCCAGAAUGUAUUUCCUAGGUUAUCUUCCAGAGUUUUUUUAGUUUUAGGUUUUACAUCUAAGUCUUUAGUCCAUCUUGAGUUGAUUUUUGUAUAUGGUGUAAGGAAGGAGUCCAGUUUCAAUCUUCUGUAUAUGGCUAGCCCAUUAUUUCAGCACCAUUAAUUGAACAGGGAGUCCUUUCCCCAUUCUUUGUUUUUGUUAACUUUAUCAAAGAUUAGAUGGUUGUAGGUGUGCGGCAUUAUUUCUGGGUUCCCUGUUCUGUUCCAUUGGUAUAUGUGUCUGUUUCCUUCUUUCUGUCUCUCUCUCUUUUUUUUUUUUUUUUGGUUUGAGAUGGAGCCUCGCUCUGUUGUCAGGCUGGAGUGCAGUGGCGUGAUCUUGGCUCACUGCAACCUCUGCCUCCUGGGUUCAAGUGAUUCUCCUGCCUCAGCUUCCUGAGUAGCUGGGACUACAGGUGUGCACCACCAUGCCCAGCUAAUUUUUGUAUUUUUAGUAGAGAUGGGGUUUCACCAUGUUGGCCAGGAUGGUCUCCAUCUCUUGAACUCGUGAUCUGCCCGCCUUGGCCUCCCAAAGUGUUGGGAUUACAGGCGUGAGCCACUGUGCCUGGCCUGUUGAGGGUUUUUAAUAUGAAGGGAUGUUGAAUUUUAUUGAAAGCCUUUGAGUUUGGGGAUGAUCAUGUGGUUUUUGUUUUUAUUUCUGUUUAUGUGAUGAAUCACAUUUAUUGAUUUGCAUAUAUUGAACCAACCUUGCAUCCCAGGAAUAAAGCCUACUGAUGGUGGUGGGUUAGCUUUGGAUGUGCUGCUAGAUUCGAUUCGCUAGUAUUUUAUUGAGGAUUUUUGCAUCUGUGUUCAUCAGGGAUCUUGGCCUGCAGUUUUCUUACUGUGUCUCUGCCAGAUUUUGGUAUCAGAAUGAUGCUGGACUCAAAUAAUGAGUUAGGGAGGAGUCCAUCCUUCAAUUUUUUCAAACAAUUUCGGUAGUAUUGUUCCAUACUAGCUCUUCUUUGUAUGGGGUUGUUUUUGCAUGUUGAAUUGUUUCAAUUUCUUACAGAUUCUGGUUAUUGGACCUUUGUUGGAUGCAUAGUGUAUUAGUCUGUUCUCAUGCUGCUAUGAAGAAAUACCCAAAACUGGGUAAUUUAUAAAGAAAAGAGGUUUCAUUUACUCACAGUUCCACGUGGCUUGGGAGGCCUCAGGAAACUUAGAAUCAUGGCAGAAGGCACUUCUUCACAGGGCAGCAGGAGAGAGAAUGAGUGCAAGCAGUGGAAAUGGCAGACGCUUAUAAAACCACCAGAUCUCAUGAGACUCACUAUCACGAGAACAGCAUGGGGGAAACUGCCCUGUGAUCUGAUUACCUCCACCUGGUCUUGCCCUUGACACAUGUGUAUUACAGUCCAAGAUGAGGUUUUGGGUGGAGACACAGCCAAACCAUAUCACGUAGUUUGCAAAUAUUUUUUCUCGUUGUAGAAAAAUAUUUAUCUCAUGGCCUGCAGCCAUGAGCAUGGAGUGUUUUUCCAUUUGUUUGUGUCAUCUCUGAUUUCUUUGAGCAGUAUGUUUUGUAGUUCUCCUUGUAGAGACUUUAACCUCCUUCAUUAGAUAUAUUCCUAGAUACCUUCUUUAUUUUUUCGUGGCC
rnacentral:lncRNA from 1 species